rnacentral:miRNA from 1 species
UAUUUAAAUCAAUUGUUAUACAAUUGAUUUAGAAAAAGGAUUUUCUAAAUCGAUUAUCCUAAUAAUCGAUUUAGAAAGCCUUUUUCUAAAGAUUUGGAAAGGUGGUCUAACAUUCACUUUCAA